rnacentral:lncRNA from 1 species
UGAGUGUUCCAUAAUCCACACAGCCAAGAUAAGACCCCACAUCUUACAAAGAUGGACAUUAACAUUUGACUGAAUCCUCCACUUAUCAGAAGAAAAAAUAUAUUGUUUACUGUAGGUCUGAUCUUUCCUUCCAUCCAAACUACAAGAAUGAGGGUAAAUGCACAAAAUCUUCAAAUUUAAGAAACUAGUUAAAAUUAGAUGUGAUGGAUAUUCAUAAAAUACUGAAUAGGGGGAAUUAAAGAAAUAGGACCUAGUUGAACUCAAACUUCAAAAAGAAGAAAAAGAAAUUGUUUUUUUUUUUUAAGUGCUGGUUGAAGUGCCUGAUUUCAUAAGUUACAGGUGAAGGAGCUAUAAUGAUCUUAGUAUAUGAAGUUAAAAUGAAGGUGUUAAUAUGGUUUCCAUGCCAACUAACUUAGUAUACUAUGAAGUAUACAAAUAAAUCCUUCACAAAUGUACCAUCAUUUCAUUAACUUGAUUUUUCCCCCUCAACGAAAAUGGAUAGGAAAUGCCUAAGUAGAGGGGAACAAGAGGUUGAACACUACAAAAAAUCAAAAGAAAAGGGGAAUAAAAAAAACACAAGAAAUUAAUGCAUAUCAAGGAGACAAAAGCUGUCUUAUAUCAUGAUAGGGAGUCAGACAAAGAAGCAAGACUUUCCCAACACAAAAAAAAAAGAAAAGAAAAGUAGUUAUGUAAAUGAUUGAGCAUAAAUAUAUUACAAGCAACAUGUAACUUACCACAAGAAGCACUAAUUAAUUAUUACAACAAAAGGAGAAAGACUACAUCACGGAGUAACCCCUUGAUUAAGAAAGAGCACAUGUGAUGGAAUGGUUUUAAGAGAAAAUGAACAGAACACAAGUUACCAGCCCUCCAACCCUCUCCACUUCUCAGAUGUGUCCAUAUGCAUGCACUUGCGCACUCACACAUACACAUAUAGAGAGAGAGAGAGAGAGUCAUGCAUUCCCUCGAAGGGCAAUGAAAUAGAGGUUUCACUCUCAGUCGCAAAGCCCACUUCUCCCCACCUUCUGCAAGUACAUACACAUCUAUGAACACUUGCCGUAUCAAGAAACCUUCUUCUCUUCUGAAAGGCACAGUAACCUUUAUUAUGACCUCCAUUUUGUAGCAUCUACAAUCAUAGGAACCAUUGCUUCAGCCAUCUUCAUGGAAUCAGUUCAUGAUGAAACCCAUGAAAUAGGAAACCCCUAACAAAGGGAGCAUUGAGAUGAAUUGACUCCAGUCAAAGAAGACAUCUAAUAAAGGAUAGAAAAGAGGCAUACAGCAAAUUAUCCAGCCUGUAAGCCACACAGCCACACACACACAGUUCCCUUAACCAUCUUAAUCUCCCUCAUGGCAAACUUGUCAGUACCAAGAAUCUUUUCCUAGAUAACUAUCCAAGUAUACAUGUAAAGCUUCCAAGGAACCUUAAUAGAUCAACCAGGCUUAUUAUAAAUCUGCCUAGCCACUCCUAUUAAACUUAGUUUUCCA